rnacentral:tRNA from 1 species
GCAGACAUCGUAUAAUGGUAUUACUUCAGCCUUCCAAGCUGAUAACACGGGUUCGAUUCCCGUUGUCUGCU